rnacentral:rRNA from 1 species
UACGAAGGGGGCUAGCGUUGCUCGGAAUCACUGGGCGUAAGGGUGCGUAGGCGGGUUUUUAAGUCAGGGGUGAAAUCCUGGAGCUCAACUCCAGAACUGCCUUUGAUACUGAAGAUCUUGAGUCCGGGAGAGGUGAGUGGAACUGCGAGUGUAGAGGUGAAAUUCGUAGAUAUUCGCAAGAACACCAGUGGCGAAGGCGGCUCACUGGCCCGGUACUGACGCUGAGGCACGAAAGCGUGGG